GUGAGGAAUUUUCCGCAAUGGGCGAAAGCCUGACGGAGCAAUGCCGCGUGAAGGAUGAAGGCCUAUGGGUUGUAAACUUCUUUUCUCAGAAAAGAAUUAUGACGGUAUCUGAGGAAUAAGCAUCGGCUAACUCUGUGCCAGCAGCCGCGGUAAGACAGAGGAUGCAAGCGUUAUCCGGAAUGAUUGGGCGUAAAGCGUCUGUAGGUUGUUUAAAAAGUAUUCUGUCAAAGAUUAGGGCUUAACCCUAGAUAGGCAGAAUAAACUUUUAAGAUAGAGUUUGGUAGAGGCAGAGGGAAUUCCCGGUGGAGCGGUGAAAUGCGUAGAUAUCGGGAGGAACACCAAAGGCGAAGGCACUCUGCUGGGCCAAUACUAACACUGAGAGACGAAAGCGAGGGGAGCAAAUGGGAUUAGAAACCCGUGUAGUCC
rnacentral:rRNA from 1 species